NCUCAGUUGGUAGAGCAUCAGCCUUCCAAGCUGAGGGUCGCGGGUUCGAAUCCCGU
rnacentral:tRNA from 1 species